rnacentral:lncRNA from 1 species
GGCUGAGUCACCUAUAUUAAUGCAAAAAUAUGUAUAGAAUGACACAAAUAAAAAAUAGAGAUAAUACCAAAUUCUGGUAAGAAUGCAGAGAAACUGGAUCACCUAUACAUUUCUGGUUAUGAUGUAAAAUGGUAUAUCGACUCUGCAAAAUAGCUUAGCAGUUUCUUCUAAAACCAAAAAUAUGCUUAUAAUACAACCCAAUAAAGGUACUUUGGGAAUUUAUACCAGAGAAAUGAAAAUCUACUUUAAUGCAAAAACAUGUAUACAAAUAUUCAUAAUAUCUUUACUAAGAUAAAAACUGUAAACACUCAAAUGUCUUUAAAUGGAUGAGUGGUUAAGCAAAUUGUGGUACAUUCAUACCGUGCAAUAUUACUCUUAAAUAUAUAUAUAAAAAAAACUAGUGAUAUUUGCAGCAACUUGGGUGGACCUCAAGGGAAUGAAUUAGAUUGAGUGAAAAAAAGUCUAUCUUAAAAAGUUACAUACUAUAAGUUUCAAUUUAUAUAACAUUCUUAACAUUCUUGAAAUAACAAAUGUAUAGAUAUAGAGAACAGAUUAGUGGCUGUCAGAGUUUAAAGACAAUCUGUCUGGAUUGUUGUGAGAGUCAACGUGAUGUCACAUGUGAUAAACUUGGAUAGAACUGCACACACACACACACACACACACACAUGCACACAGAGGAGUAUGUAUAUUACUAACUGGUGAAAUGUGAAUAAGCUCUGUAGAUUGUAUCACUGUCAGUUUUCUAGUUUAUUACUGUACUGCAAUUAUGCAAAAUUUCAGCAUUGGAGGUAGGUGUAUGAAACUUGCACCAGACCUUGCUUUUGCCUCUUGGCAAUUUCCUGUAUUUAUUCCAAAAUAAAAAGUUUUAGAAAUACGGUAACAAACAUUCAAAACUUAUUACUUUCUAUUCAUUUUAUUAUUAUCUAUAUUUUUGAGUUUAUUUAUGUCUAUUAUAUGUGAAUAGAAAUAUUAUGUAAUAGAUAGGUGUGUUUCUUUCCAAUUCUUCAUGCAUAAAUAUUACAUUAGUAGGUUGAAAUCACCCAUGGUGGCAGUAUUGAUACCAUGGGAAUUGGCAAACACUGCAAAUCAGGCUUUGAUUUUAUUAUAUUUUUUCUGGACUUGACAAAAUAAUAAUAAUACAAAUAUAAGUGUAUCAUAUCUGUAGCUUCUACACUGUGAAUAUCAAAAAAAUUGAGGAAUGUUCUUUCAAAUAUUCAAAAACUUUGAUGUUUUAGCAAAACGACACACAUCAUUGAGGAAUAGGUUCAUUGUAUCUUUGUUUUUCCCACUUUCAGUUUACACAUUAUUGUAAAUAAAUAAUCAACUACAUUCAUACUUGAAGCAUACUCAGGUUGCUGGCUGUUGAACAUUUGUCAGCACAUCAUUGCUUAGAAUGAUCUCACCCCCUUCUAUCCAUACUUCACACUUACAUUUCUAUGUGAGCUGGAUUCCACAGAUGUCCACUGAUGAACCAUGCCACCUGGCAUUUGGGAUCUUGUGAAGUCUCUUCCCACACAGAAAAAUGGCUUUGUCUUGAACUUGCUUUGGUCAAUAUGUAGCAAAAGUAUCAUGUAACCUCCAAAGUUUCAUUUUAAGAGAUCUUCAGCUUCCACUUUUGCCACUUUGAAUGUUUCUCUUUGAAGCCAGCCACCAUGCUGUAUGAAAACUCAAGCAACCCUAUGAAGAGUUCUACAUGGAGGUGAACUGAGACCCAACCAAUAGCUUAAACUGAGUUCUAGCAUAUAGCCAGCAGCAAUUACCGGCCAUAGAAGUAAGACCAUUUUGGACUUUUACCCUGUCCCAGUACGUCAACUCAUACCAUAUUGGGCAGAAGAAUCAUCCAGCCAACUCAGAGAGUUGUGAGAAAUAAUAAAUUGUUGCUGUUUUAAACCACUAACUCUGAGGUACGUCAUUACACAGUUAUAGACAAUUGAAACAAUAAUCGUUACCUAGAAUUGAGGUGCUAAUGUAACAAAAACUUAAAACAUCUGGCAUUGGCUUUAAGACCAGAAGUAAGCAAAGCCAGAAGGAUUUUAAAAGACGCUUUUUAGGGGCGCCUGGGUGGCGCAGUCGGUUAGACGUCCGACUUCAGCCAGGUCACGAUCUCGCGGUCNNNNNNNNNNNNNNNNNNNNNNNNNNNNNNNNNNNNNNNNNNNNNNNNNNNNNNNNNNNNNNNNNNNNNNNNNNNNNNNNNNNNNNNNNNNNNNNNNNNNNNNNNNNNNNNNNNNNNNNNNNNNNNNNNNNNNNNNNNNNNNNNNNNNAAAAAAAAAUUAAAAGACGCUUUUUAAAAACUUGUUUUUUUUAAUGUUUAUUUACUUUUUAGAGAGAGAGAGAGAGAGAGAGAGAAAGAACAGGGGGAGGGGCAGAGAGAGAAAGGGGGGCACAGAAUCCGAAGCAGUCUCCAGGCUCCAAGCUGUAAAAGACUCUUAAUGGAAGCAGGAAAGAUAGUUGAGUACAUUGACACCAGAGGCUUGAAAAAAGUUAACCCGUGUUAGUUACAGGUAGAACAUUUGGCAAAGUGGUUGCCAUGAGGUAACAUGAAAAGUAGAAAAAAAUUAAUUAAUCUAUAUAUUUAGCUGAGGUGUCUUGACAGAAUGUUAGAAGUGUUAACAGUUUUGUUUUAUUUUUUUGUUUUUUUAUGUGCUAAGACCAGAUAUAGAGACAUGAAUUAAAGAAAGAAUACUGUUCAAUUUUCAGUCAGAAUAUAGGAUAUAGAACAUUUUUAACCCAGGACUUCCAAGGUGGGGAAAUGAAAUUGUUUCUCAGUUACAGACUUCUCCAUUUUGAAAAAAGAUUCUCAAAUUGAAAUAAAACCUGGUGGUAAAUAUCAAAUUUUUCCAUUAAACAUGAUCUCAGGCUCAAGAUCAGAUGACAGCUAUAGCUGUAAAACCUUUUGUUGAGAUUUUGCAAACCUCUCAGCUAGACAAAAUUGCUUCUAAGAUCUUAACAGUGUUUUUCACAGCAUUAUAACUCUUAGCCCAAUAUGGAAUGCAAUCUCUCUGGGUGCUUUAAAUAAUGGAGUGGUUUAUAUGAUUCCAUUUACUGCAGUGGAUUAUAACUUGAUACAAAAAAGAAUCUACAAUUUCUAAAAAACCAUAUCAAUCAGACUUAAAAACCAAAACAAAGACAAUUGAACGUGAAAAUAGGUUCACUGUGUCCCCAAAUGUUGUGUAUAGUGUGCAGGUGGCUCAUAAGACAUCUCCCAAUGAUCCCUUUAUACAAUUUCCUCCUCUUGGGUAUUGAGUAAACUUAGUGACUUGCUUUUAAUGAGUAGAUUAUGGCAAAAGUGAUCAGAUGUCACUAGAAGACAAGAUUGCAGAAAAACUCUGCUUCUGUUUUGCUUACCCCCUCUUGCUCUCUCUCUUGCUCAGUUCGGUGGAAGUUAGAUGCUAUGUCAUUACAUGCCCUAAGGAGAACCAUGUGUCAGGGAGCUGAAAGAUCUCUGUCCAAAAGCCAACAAAGAAUGAAGACUUUCAGUCCAAUGACUCAUGAGGAAUUGAAACAACCCUUGAGUGUGGUUGGAAGAGAAUCCGCCCCUGUUUGAAACUUGAGGUAACUGCGGCCUCGGCAUACACAUUGAUCACCAUUGCGUAAGCUCCUUUGGUUCAGAGGAUCCAGCUAAGCUGUUACUGAAUUUCUAAGCCACAAAUAUUGUAAGAUGAUAAACAUUUAGUUUCAAGCCACUAAUUUUUUAGGUAAUUUAUAACACAGCCAUAGAUAUACAAGCAGGAAGCAGGUUGAGAAAGCUACUCAGCUUCAAACAGGGUCUAUUUCUCAUGGAAAAGAAGUGAAGAUUCAGAAUGUGGAAUCAAGAGAACAGAAAGUGAAGCCAAGAACUAUAGAUGACCACUUCAUGGGAAUAGAGUUGCACCCUAAUAUAGGACUGGUGGUUUAUUGGUAUGGACCAGUGAUUGCCUCCAUCAUUUUCUCUCUCCCUUUUUGAAUGAGCAUAUCUGCUGUGACUUUUCUGGACCUGGCUCACCAUAUUGUGUUGGGUAUGUGGGAUUGAAUAUGUGUCUCUUUUUUAUUCACAGGUUUUUAAAUGAAGAAGAGCCAUAUUUGAGGAGCCUCAACCAAACAAGGACAUGAUUUGGAUAAUGACACCCUGAAUUUUAGCCUAAGGCCAUGAUGUAGUGAGUUAGAACUCUUAUAAGUGAGUGUAUUUUGCAUUUGGAAGAGAAUUGUCUGUAAUACCUAGUCUCAAGAUGAUAUAUCCUGGGUCGCCCGGGUGGCUCAGUCGGUUGAGUGUCUGACUGCAGCUCAGGUUGUGAUCUCAAGGUUCAUGAGUUCAAGCCCCACAUCAGGUUCUGUGCUGACAGCUCAGAGAUGUUUGGAACCUACUUUGGAUUCUGUGUCUCCCUCCUUCUCUGCUCUUCCUCAGCUUGUGCUCUGCUUCUCUCUCUCAAAAAUAAAUAAACAUAAAAAAGAUUUUUUUAAAGAUGAUAUAUCCUGAUGUGGACGCCCUUGUGUGAUCCAUCUCCAUAUUAAAUCUGGGCUUGGCCUAGACUUUCUUUAAUCUAUAAAAUGCAGCAGAGAUAUCAUUCUGCAUCUCUCAAGGUGGAGCCUUAAAAGAUUAGCAGCUCUACUUUUGCCAUUUGGAAUCCUUUUUGAAUUAGACCAACAUAGUCUAAGGAGGCCUAAUCAUGCAUGUGGAACUGCCCAAGGCAACUAAGAAUAUAGCAAUACCCACGGUUGAGCUCCUAGACAAAAGUCAGCAUAAACCUGGCAAACAUAUGGGUGAGGCCAUAUUGAAUCUUGUAAUCAGUCUAGCGUCUUAGUCACCCCCCAUGUGAAGUGGAAGAACCAUUCAGUCAACCUACAGAAUCAUGGAAGUCAUAAAUUAUUGUUUGAAGCCACUGAGUUUGGGAUAGGGUAUUAUGUAGAAAUAGACAACUGAAAUACUUUUUUUUUUUUAAUGUUUAUUUUUUUGAGAGAGAGACAGAGUGUGAGCAGGGGAGGAGCAGAGAGAGAGGGAGACACAGAAUCCGAAGCAGGCUCCAGGAACCAAGCUGUAAAAGUUUCUUAAUGGAAGUAGGAAGGAUAAUGAGUGCGUUGACAGCAGAGGCUUGAAAAACGUUAACCCACGUUAGUUAGAGGUAGAACAUUUGGCAAAGUGGUUGCCAUGAGGAAACAUGAAAAGUAGAAAAAAAAUUAAUUAAUCUAUAUAUUUAGCUAAGGUGUCUUGACAGAAUGUUAAAAGUGUUAACAGUUUUAACUUUUUUGUUUUUUCAUGUAAUAAGAAUCAGAUAUAGAGACAUGAAGAAAAGAAAAAAUACUGUUCAAUUUUCAGUCAGAAUAUAGGCAAAACAUUUUUCAUCCAGGACUUCUGGCGAGACACAGAAUCCGAAGCAGGCUCCAGGCUCUGAGCUGUCAGCACAGAGCCCAAUGUGAGGCUCGAACCCAUGAGACAUAAGAUCAUGACCUGAGCCGAAGUCGGAUGCUUAACUAAGUGAGCCACCCAGGCAUCCCUGCAAGUGAAAUACUUCUAAAAUACAAGCCUAUAAAUUAAUUUUUACUUUAAAACUUCCUUCAGUAAAUCUGUAUUCAGAAAAAUAUCCAAUUCCUUGACAUGAAAUUCAAAGCUCUUCUAGAUAUGGUUUUCUGCACAUGAGCAUUAACCCAACCCCAAACCCCUCUUUGCACUACAUGUAUCUAACACUAUUCUUGUUUCCAUGAAAUGCUCUUUACCUUUGUUUCUUUUAGUUCAUUUCAGUUAACAUUCACAAAUCAAUAGAGGCUUGACUUUGCCUGCAAGAUUCUAUGACCUGCUAGUCAAGCUGAGUAUCUUCCACAAUGUAUUUAUACACUUGGGAAUACCUUUAUUGAUGCUUUUAUUACACUCUAUUGUAAUUUGAUUCCUGUAACUACUGAAUCAUGGUUGAUUCAUCUUCAUAUCCUUAAAGUUUAACAUGCUGCUUAAUAUAUUACAUGAAUGAAUUAAUGAUUUUAGGACUGAUGACCAAACUCUGAGAUAUAGAGAACAUUUGAAACACUUGAAAUAUUAAAAUUCCACGAGUGAAAAAAAAGUCUUGUGUAACCAAGAAUUACUUUUGGUGCUUUUUAAUUAUUUCAACUGAGUUCUUAGAGGUUAAAAAUUUCAAGUAUUUCUCUCACAGGUAUAAUGAUAAAUACUAGCUCAAUAAUGAUUAUAGUUAAUUGUUUGCUUAAUGUGUGCCAGACAUUGUCUAAACAUUUUGUAUUUAAUCCCUAUUAUAACCCUAUGAGAUAAAUACUUUACUGUGGUCAUAUUAUAAAUAAAGCCGGGGAAGGACACCUGGGUGGCUCAGUUGGUUAAGAGCCCAGCUCUUGGGGUUAAGCAUCUGACUUUGGCUCAGGUCAUGAUCUCACAGUCUGUGAGUUCAAGCCCCGCGUUGGGCUCUAUGCUCACAGUUCAGAGCCUGGAGACUGCUUCAGAUCCUGGGUCUCUCUCUCUCUCUCUCUCCCCCUCUCCCUCUCAAAAAUAAAAUAAACAUUAAAAAAUCAAUAAGUAAAUAAAAGAGUCCAACUCUUGGUUUUGGAUCAGGUCAUUAUCUCACAGAUUUGUGAAUUCAAGACCCACAUCAGGCUCUGUGCUGAGUGUCCUGCUUGGGAUUCUCUGUCUCUCUCUCUGCCCCUCCCCUACUCAUGCUGUCUCUGUCUCUCUCAAAAUAAAUAAAUAAACUUAAAAAAAUUAAAAAUAGUUUAAAAUGUUUAUUUAUUUUUGAGAGAGAGAGAGAGACAAAGCACAAGUGGGAGAGGGGCAGAAAGAGGGAGACACAGAAUUGAAGCAGGCUCCACGCUCUGAGCUGUUAGCACAGAACUCAAUGCGGGACUUGAACUCAUGAACCAAGAGAUCAUGAUCUGAGCUGAAGUCAGACACUUAACUGACUGGUCCACUGAGGCACCCCCUGCCCCACAAAAAACAAAAACAAACACAAACAAACAAACAAACAAAACUUUAAAUAAAGCAAAGGAGAUUAAGUAAUAUGUCCAAGAUCAAAAAGCUAGAAAAUGGGAGAGUUGGGAUCCAAAACUGUCAGUCUGGCUCUGGAGGUCACAUAUUUAACAAAUGUAUCAUCUCCUCUCUUGGAGCACACAGAUAAUUUAGUUUAUUUUAAUUAUUUACCUUUCACAAUGUGCAUCGUAAACUCAUAAAAUACUAACUUUGUACAUGCAUCUUCUCAAAUGUAAAAUAAGAUAAAAUGCAUCUUCUCAAAUGUAACAUAAGAUAAAAUGAUGACUGAGCUCAUUCACUUCUCAGAAAAAUAAACAAAGAAGUGUUUUGUAAACUCCAGAGUUCUGUCAUGAGGUCUUCUGUCACAGGUCAGUGAUAUCUGGUAGUUUAUUUUCUGUCUUAAAGUCAUCUUGCUACUUUCCUGCCUUCUAUCUUUCAACUGUCAUUUUCAUACUAUUUAUUACAGCCCGAAUUAUACUAAGUUUUCCAGACAGUACCUCCCUAAAAGGAAAAGCAAACCUAUUAUUUAAGGGUAUUUAACUACCUGAAUACUGGAUUUUGAAUUAUUGCACUUUAGUCUCUCAUCUUUUUAUUUUACUUUAAAAAAAUUGUUUAAAAUUUAUUUAUUUAUUUUGAGGGGAGGAGGAGGGACAGAGAGAGAGAGAGAGAGAGAGAGAGAGAGAAUCCCAAGUAGGCUCUGCAUUGCCACCGAGGAGACCAGACGGACACGGGGCUCAAACUCACAAACACUGUGAGCCAACACCAAGAGUGGGACACUUAAGCGACUGAGCCACCCAGGCACCCCUAGCUAGUCUUCUCAUCUUAAAAUUAGUUCUGCAGUUUCCUUAAAAGCAUUAAAGGAUAGCAACCAGAGCAGAUGAAGGUGCAGGAGCCUGGUCACUGCACUUCAACCAAAGAUUAUCUGAUUUCAUCUGAUUUGCAUACUCAACCUUCAGGAAUAUUCACAGAGUCUCAGGGGAGAUAGGCAUAAUGUAAACACAAUGCAGAUAUUAAAUGCGUUGGUAAGGGCUGGAAAGUGAAAGAACAGAGUGAUAGAGGGAGACUGACCAGGGGAAAAGAAAGACCCAUUGAGGUGAUGACAGUUAAAUGAGACCUGGAGGGUGAGAAAAUAGGCAGCAGAGGGUCUGGGAAACAGUAUUCUAAACAAAGGGAAGAGUCUGUGUGGUAUAAAAGGGUUUCAUGUGGAAAUGAGCUUUUGUCUUUAGAGAAAAGUAUUAACAGACAAGAUUUCCUACUUAAAAGUUCAAAAACGUUUUCUAAGUGUUCUAAGGUCCUUUCCAGUUUGAAAAUGAUAGAGUUUGAUGAAACAAAAGAAGACAUUAAUGGGCAAGCAUUGUUUUAAAACUUAGUUUUAGUGUUUCUCUAGAUAGUUCAGUUAAUAUAAAACAGCCUAUUGGCCAACAUAGGUCUGAGGUGAGUUGUAAUCAAAUGAUCAGAAACGUCUCUUUGAUCUUUGAAUGUUCCUUUUAUUUAAUCUGUUCUCAUCCCAAAGGGAGAGAACUGUUUCUCCUUUUUGCCUUACAUUGACCCUUCAACUAAAAGUCAUGACAGCAGGGGCAGCAGAUGUUGGCCUGUGGGCUGAAUCGAGGCCAGCAUCUCUUGUUGUUCAUUCUGCAAACUAACAACGGUAUUUAUACUUCCAAAUGGUUAAAGAUAAUAUUUAAUGACAUUUGAUAAAUAUAUGAAAAUCAAAUUUCAUUGCCAACUUGUUUUUGGGAACUCAGCCAUGCUCACUUUUUCACAUAGUAUCUAUGACUUCUUUCACACUGUAAGGUCAGAGCUGUAUGGUUGUGACAGAGGCCUUAUCAUCUUCAAAGUCUAAAAUAUUUACUCUCUAGUCCUUUAUGGGAAAAGUUUCACUGACCCCUGCAUGAAAGCAUUUGUUUACUGAGGCACCAUCAUUAACACACUCUUGCCACUAAUCUGAUUCUGUUGUAUGCCCAUGGCUUUGUUGUAAGAAGUCCUGCCUGUAAACGAGCUGCUCUUUCUACCUUUAAUUUUCAGGAAUAAUAUCCCAUUAACACACCAGACUAUCAAAUAACUUUAUUUCAUAAAACAGUAUGAUUUUUUUGUUGUUGUUUAACUUUAAUUCAUUAGUAACCUCCUAAAUUUUAUUUUGGAAUAUUGAAAAAAUUUUCUGAAAUUAUAAUACAAAAAGUUAACAUUAGGUGUCAGUAUUUUACAUAUUAUUUAGUAAGUGUGUGACAAUGAAAAAAAUGUAUUGGAUUAUUACACAGAGGAUUUUCACUAGAAAAUUUUACCUCUUGUUCAAAUACUUUCUUUCUUUCUUUCUUUCUUUCUUUCUUUCCCCCAUUAAUGAAAUUGUUUUUUAUGAUGCCUGCAAACCAAAAUUUUGAAACUCCUCAUUUUUAGGUAUCUGCUGCUACAUUUUUGUCAUAUGUCUGUGUGUGGGAAUAGAUAUUAGCAUGGUCCUAACAAGUAUCUUUUAAAUGUCCUGUAUGAUAAUCUGAAUGAGAUUUCAAAAUAGAGACCAUUUGGAGGCAGCAUGGUUUUGCAGGGAAAAUACCAGGGAAGCAUUAUAGGGAAGUGGAAAGGAUACUAAGUUUGAAUUCCUACAUUAACUUUAUCAUUGAUAACAUUGUGACUCUUAUUCCUUAACCCUCUAAUUUAUAAUAUUGUAGGUAAGAAGAGUAAAUCAUCUAGUUUCUACUCUGCAGUGUUGCAGUGAAGAUCAAACGCCUUAACACUUAUCCAGAGGCCAAUUGUCAAAGUGGCUGUCUCCAUGGACAACCCACAAAUGUUAAUACUUCCCUGUCACCAUCUCCUAUGUUUCUCUUACCUUUAAAUUAUUUUGAGUAAAUAGAUUAAUAUAUGAAAGAGACCUAGCACAUGGCGUUCAAGAAAUAGAAAUUUUCUCAUCUCUAAAUCAUUUAAUCAUGCAGUCUUAUCACACUGUGUGUCUUGUGUGUGUCUCACAUGCCGUUUAUUUGUGUUCAGAUCACUAAGCUUCAAAUAAUUUCCCAAAGAAUCAGAGAUUAAAUAAGAUCAAAUCUAUUCCAUAACUUCAAAUAUCUCUGAAAAUGAUUUAGUCUGAGUUCCUUUUAGUGCAUCCAUAUCUCUAUGCAACAUAUAAGCAUAAAAGAUUCCUAAAGAUAUCAAAACUAUAUUGAACCCUUAUAAAUCAGUAAGGGAAAAAUCAAUACUCAAUAAAUGGCAAAGAAUGCCUAAAUAAUACACACACACACACACACACAAUUACAAUGAUCAAUAAAUAUUUCAUGUAAUAUUCAGCCCCAGUAAUAAAGAAUAAAGUAAAAAUAAAAACAUUAAAUUUGAUAACUAACUGCUAAAAAAUGACCAUAUGUUUUUCCUUUACUUAAACAACUAUAAUAAAGAUGGCUAAGAGUUCUUGGUUGCUAUUCCAAUUGAGAAGUGGAAUUCUUUUCUUCUUGAAUCUGAGCUGACUUUAGUGAUUUGCUUAUGAAUAAGGUGUGUACCUUUUGUGACUGUCACAGAAGUCUUGUUAUUUAUACUCAUCCCUUGGAACACCCAGCUCAGGUCAUGAUCUCAUGGCUUAUGGGUUCAAGCCCUGCAUUGGGCUCUGUGCUGACAGCUCAGAGCCUGGAGCCUGCUUCGGAAUCUGUGUCUUCCUCUGUCUCUGCUCCUCCCCUGCUCACGCUCUGUUUCUCUCUCUCUCAAAAAUAAAUAAACAUUAAAAAAUUUUUCUUUACGAUGAAAAAUAAAGAAUAGUGUAAAUUGUGUGGGUGAGCAAUGCAGCUUUCCAUGCCACCAAAUGAGUAGAGGGCCCCGGUGAGUAUGACAAGGUUGACAAAAAUUCCUACGCUUUUGUCAGAUGCCUCUCAGGACACAAGCGUGUCUCACAUUGCAUAGAAUUCUAGUGUUCAAAGAUGAGAUCUAUUUUUUAAUAAUAUUGUUUCCAAAGUACAAACUAGAUGCUUUAUCCAGAAAUCAACCAAAACAUCCUGUUUUCCAAUAAUAGAGGAAAACUCACACUGGACUUAUUUCAAGAGGAUAGGUCUUCAGUGUCCUUUGUAGUUUUGAUUUGCUUGGGGUCACUGGAACCCUUAAAUCGUAUAUCCCCACAACUUACAGAGGUAGAAACUCAGAACCAACACAGUCGAGCUCUAGAUCCCUUAUGUUCUCACUCUCUGCCUGUCACUUUUCCCUCCCUGUUCUCCACCGUGAUAGUGUGAGGAUCCCACAAUUCUCAACUGCUAUGCCAUCCCUCUCGGUGGGAAUUGCUUAUGAUUGUUAGCUGCUUCAGCAGCCUCGUAAAUCUGCUUCUCUCCUGUCAGAAAACAGAAUAGUACCUCAGAAGAUUCUCUGGCUUCAGUCAACACACACUUAUUUUAAAUAUGGGAGAUGUAGCAUUGAAAGCAGGAUCUAGUCAUUGAUUGCAAGAAGUUCGUGAGCAUCCUUUUCCAUAGACUAACCUCCAUCUCAACAGGGUGGUCCCACCUGUGGAGCACUCACUUUGUUCUCUUCCCAGAUGUGUUUCCACUGUUCUCAUGCUAACUUUGAAAAGGAACAAUAACUGAAGAUUUCUGCCAUCCAAGAUACUUGAUAUUAACCCAGUCCCAACCUCCUGCAUCCUGUGGCGACAGGGAGAUGCUGAGUACCAGGACCCCCCUGACCCUUAGUUCUCUGAGUCAAAGCCCCCUCAAUCAGAUAGCUUUGUUUUGUUUUGUGUUGUUUUGUGUUUCUGCUACCCCAGCAAGUUUUGAAGCAAACGUAGGGCAGGAAAUUAGGGGAAAGAGAGCAAUCUCACCCUACCCACAAACUUUCAUCCAAUCUAUAAUGAUAGAUUAUUAAUUAAUGUAAUUCAUUCUUUGUAUUAAACAAAUACAAUGCCUUAUCCCUUACCACUCCUACCUGGCAUUCUCACAGGACCAGUUUGUCUUCUUUAACUGCAAGAUCACUUCCUCCUUAAUAUCUACAUACUUUUUAUAUUUUGUGAGUAAUAAUAUUGAAAAUAAAUUUUUUAAAAGCCAUCUAUUUCCUGGCCCUGAAAUACCUAUUCCUCCUUCAAGAGCAAGGCUAGACUAGAGUCACUGGGUUCUAAGGCCUCAUUUUGCCUGUGCACAUUACCUAGCCUCUUUGGGGGACAUGCUUGCCUAUUAUAUCCCAGACAUAACUCUUUCUACUAACUGUAGAAUCAGUAGAAUCAGGUACCCACCACAUAUUUUAAUAAUCUGUCAGCACCAGAAAUGUGAGUCUUCUCAGAUCUUUUGUAACCAGCCAGCCAAGGGAAAAAAAAAUGAUUACCUGAUGUCAGCCACUAUUCUCCAGUCUCUGCUCUGGCACUUACAUGAGAACUGACAUGAGUUCCUUCCCCAAACUGUCCUUCCUUCCUCCAAGCUGCUAUCAGUUUCUGUAAGUGUUAUUCACCACCUUCUCAAUAAGCUUUUGUGUUCUUCAAGUUGAUACUUAGGCUGGUGGUUUUGUUUUCUAUUGCUGCUGUAACAAAUCACUACAAAUGUAGCAGUUUGAAACAACACUCACUUAUUAUCUUACAGUUCUGAAAGUUAGAAGUCCAAUACAAGUCUCACUGGGCUCAUACCAAGGUGUUGGUAAGGUUGUAUUCAUUUUUGGAGAAUUUAUUUAUUUGCUUCUUCCACUUUCUAGAGGCUGGUUACAUUCCUUGGCUCAUGGACCCUUCUUCCAUUGUCAAAGCCAAAAACUUUGCAUCUCUCCAAUCAAUGCUCCAGAUCUCUGACCAUAGCCAGCCAAGGCUCACAGCUUUUAAAAAGCCAUGUGAUUGGGUGCACCUGGAUAUCUAGGAUAUCUAGGAUAUGUAGGAUAAUUUCUCCAUCUUCAGGUUUUUGACCUUAGUCACACCUGCAAAGUCCCUUUUUGCCAUGGAAGGUAACAUUUAUAGGGAUUAGGGCAUGGACAUUUUAGGGGGUCAUUAUGAACUGGAAGCAAAAGGUCAAGAAAGAAACCUUUAGACAUUUUUGAUGCAAAAAGUGUUUUUAUUAAAGCAGGGUGACAGGACCAGUGGGCAGAAAGAACUGCAUUAGGAUUGUGAGGAGCAACUGAUGAUAUACUUUUAGGUUGGUGGAAUAGAAAUAAAGGAAGUUUCCAGAAGGAUUUUCAUAUGUAAAGGAUUUACAGGAUCCUGGAGGUCUGGCUAUUGCCAAGCUAACGUUGCUUUUUGCCUCUAGCAAAGCAUCAACAUUAAGGCAGUUGUAAGUUCCUUGAGGAAUGUCAUACUCUGCCUGUCGCAGGUAUUUAUCAAUGGGCCACAAAUUGUAAGGAAAUUUAAUUUUAUCUACAUUUCUUCUGCCUUUUGUCUCCUCACCAAAUAGAUUGUCUAUCCUAUUUGGUUUCUGACCAUUCCCUUUUCUCUCCUCCUACUUUUACUUUGCUGCCUUGUUGAAUUCUUGGUCCCUUUAACCCUGAAACACUUUGCCUCCAUCUUCUACUACCUGUCAGUAACCAAAGACAGAUUUUUCUUUGGAAGGUAGGCUUCCAGAUCAUUCUUCCACACUCUCUUUGAAGUUCAUAGUUGCAGGAAGCAGACUCAAAUGGGGAUUUGUAUAAAGGAGGUUUAUUGGAAAAUGCACUGGAGAUAAUAUGUAUCUGUGUGGAGGGGAUGGUGAAGGAAGCAGGACUGCAUUGAUGGAAGGUGAUGAACAUUAAUGAAGUCUCAACAAAGUUCUCAACCAAUUCUGAGAACUUUGUUCUCAGGAUACAUGGUGUAUCCUGGCUGAGAAAGUCCUUCCGAUUGCCCUCCAAUUGAAAUCUUUUAUAUGGGGCUCCAACAAGCUCUCCAUGGAUGCAAGAGGCUGGGGUGAUGGCAGGGGCAUGGGGGCAGCAGGCAUGACCUCAUGGUAGGCAGUCCUCAACACUCCUGGCAAUGUGUUUUGAGGAAUUGGUUAUUUUAGGGCUGGAGAGUAAGAAAUGGGCAUUGAAGUCAGUGAACAAAGGCAAAAGACUCAGUUGAAGAAAAGAAGAUCAAAGUUUAGGGAACAAAUGGAGGUAGGAUAGCCUAGUAUUUCUUAUACCAAUCACUUCUACUUGCUGUUGUUUGUAUAUACAGGUCUAUAUGAGAUGUCAGGCUUAACUAUCAGAAGGAAACGGAUAAUGGUCUUAUUCCUGCUACUUGCCACCUUAAUCCCCCUUUUGCUGAAUGGUUUCUUAUCUUUUAUCAUUAAUCUAAUGAGCCUGGGUACAUAUAUAUGCCUAUAUUUUAUGACAAGCCAUCACAAGUCCACAUUUAAUGAAGAAAUGUUAUAAAAUAUAAAUGAAUCAUGAUAUAUAUGUGCGAAUAUACCUAUAUACAAAUAUAUAUUAUAUAUACACACACAUAUUCAGAAAUACGUGUAAAUAACUAAUCUUGCUUGAUAAAUGUGUGUCGUUUUUGGGAUGGGUGGUCCUUGCAAGGUGGUUUUAGGGCUAACUAGAAGUCUGAUCUGAAUUUGUUUUUGUUGAAAAACAAAAGGAAAAGAAAAAAAUCUCAGUUCUUUUGUAACUACUAGAUCAGCUCACAGAAUUUAUUUUUGUAUAUAUAAGUCCACAAAAUUUAAUAAGCUUAAUAAUUUUAAAGAUUUAUUAAGAAAAAAAUUGUUCCUAACCUGGUCUGGGACAGACCUUUUAAUUCACAACAGCCUUCUGGGAAGAAAUUAGCAUUCCUGAUAAACUGCUUAAGCGAUUUUCAGAUAAACUUUUAAUGGUAUUAAGACCUCUUCUGGGAAACCAGUUGUCAUCCCACUCAGCUGAAUGAUAGCUAAGAGUUCAAUGAUCUUUCACUAGACAUCUUUUUUUUGUUGUUGUUCCUGUUUGCUUUUAGUCUAAAAAAAAAUUCUUACCAGUCUUUUGUGUAUGUGUGUGUGUGUGUGUGUGUGUGUGAGAGAGAGAGAGAGAGAGAGAGAGAGGGAGAAAGCUUAAAAUUGUCCAAUUUAGGAUAAUACAGCAAUUUGGAAAUAAAAUUUGAUCAGUGCAUAUAACUAAAUUUUCUAGACAAAAACCUCUUUCAGAUAUAAGGUAUUUUAUUGGUAUUUCAUCAGAUUUAGAAACAAGAUUCUCUAAACAUUUUUAAACUACAAUUAUGAAUUUAACACUUAAUUUUAUUAAUAUAUUGUCUGAAAAUGUUUCCAACUACUUACAUAACUAUUGUAAAAUUUAGUAAGUUAAAUUUAAAAAUAGAAUAAACCUAAACCUAUUAAUAUUCUAAUACAAUAUAUAACCUAGUUGAGUUUGCAAGUUAAGAUUUCUAGCUGGAAUUGAUUUCAUAAUGACAUGUUUUACACUGGAGUUACAAACCUCAUCUAUUAUUCUAAUAUGCUAAAUUAUUCUAAUAUUCUAUUAUUAUCAUUAUAUUAUACUAUUAUUAUUAUUAUUCUAAUAUGCUAAAUUCUGCAAAAAAUUUCAGAUAUUUAAAAUACCAAGUAUGCAUAUUUGGUUUAACAACAAUAACAUACUAAUAUGAUAGAUGUGAUUCUAUAAAAUAUUAUAAUAUGUAAUUCUAAAUCUUUGCUGUUUUUUUUUAAUGCUAUACAUAGAGAAGCAAUUAUGACAGUCAACAAAAUUUGGGGGAUUAUCUUCCCAUGAAAUUUUGGAAUUGACUUUCACUUUUCUGGUUCUUAAAGACCAGAAUAUAUUGACAAAGUAGCAAUGGGUCUUUAUCUGGGAUUCUGAUGGUCUUCCCAAGUGUAUAAGUAGUAUCCAAAGAACCCUCUUAAAAUGGUAGACAUUUGAACCAUUUUCUUAGAAUUGAGUCAUAUAAUUAAUUUUGAAAUGAAACAAGAGUCUAUAGUCCUCAAUGAGGAAUUAAUUUAGAUUAGAUUUUGUAUUUCUUUCAAUAGAAAUGGUGUCUCCAUUCCAGGUCUGAAGACCCGUGAGCUUGAAAGAUUUUCACAUUAUCUUAGUAUUAUAUAACGUUAGCAGAUAUGAAAAUGAUAUCAAUCAUGUAUUAUUAUUCAGUCAUAAAUUCCAAGGUCAUCUAUGAACACUGUCCUUUCUCCUAAGGUCUUGAGCCUCUCAGCUCUGAAAACAAUGCCAUCAGGUCUUAUUUUCCUCAUUACAAAAUAAUGAUGCAGGCUGGCUGAGUCUGAGGGUCCAGAGCAUGGUCCCACUGGAUCAUCCAAGAGGGUCUUGGCUUUGUGCAGGAUAGAAAUCAAACCUGAGCCUAGAGGAAGUGAGAGCAGAGUUAACUGAAGACAGAGAGCUAGUACAGAUAUAGACAGAGCUCUAGGAGACUUGAAAGGAAAGAAGAGUGAGUCUUGUCUUAGUUUGGGGUCCAGGGUUUUCAUGGAGGAUUGUGGUCUGUGCAUGUGUCUGUCUUCUCAGGCAUCCAGGAACACAGAUGAGAGUUUAAGCAUUCUCCAUGAAUCACAUGCUCUGGAGUUGGGGUCUUGAUAAGUCAGUGGUCUUGGAAACUGUUCACAUCCACCCGGUCCAGUCCCUCCUUAGAUGUUAUCUGUGGUGCUGGAAGACUCCAAAGAAAUCAUUGACUCCUUGACCUUUACAAGAAGGACAUGUAUCAGUUGUUCUAUAAGGUGUGUAGAAGGUGAAAGUGUAGGUCCUAACAAGAAUAGAAGCAGGAAAAGGAGCAAAAAGAGUAGUUUUUCAUGGGGUCUCUGUAGUUUCUCUGUAUCAAUAAUUAUAAUAUUAUCCAACUCACAGGUUUGUUGUGAAUACUAAAUUAGGUAUUUGGAAACUUCUUUGUAACAGAAUUAGUGUUCCUGUCUUUUUACCACAACUACUAACUACCCUUUAAUGAGUUUUCACUAUAGGUCAGAUACAAUAGGACAAUAGGAGCUUUGAAUUAUCCAUUUAAACCUCUAAACAAUGCUAGGUUAUAACCUAUGGUUAUGGCUAUAGUUAUGCUGCUCAUAUUGGUGAAACCAGAAUUAAAGCCAUAUCUGACAGCCUACAAGGGCAGCUCUUUUAAGUUUUUUUAAUGUUUAUUUAUUUUUGAGAGAGAGAGAGAGAGAGAGAGCACACACAAGCAGGGAGGGGCAGAGAGAGACAGAGAGAGACAGAGAGAGAGAGAGAGAGAGAGAGAAUCUGAUGCAGGCCCCAGGCUCUGAGCUGUCAGCACAGAGCUGGAUGCGGGGCUCAAAAUCAUGGACCUUGAGAUCAUGACCAGAGACGAAAUUGGAGACAACCAACUGAGCCACCCAGGCGCCUUCAAAGGGCAGCUCUUGCAGCUCUUUCAACCUCAGUUCUCUAUGAGCACUGGCGUCUGAGGGUGCUAAGUGCUCUAGGAAACCAGGAAAGGAUAAUCAGUGUAAACCGGACCAUCCAGACCUUGGUACACAGGCGGUCCACUAUUUCUUACACCAUUCUUUUUUUCUUUUACCUCCACCAAUGACCUUUCAUUGCUGUUUUUCUCUUUCUUCUUUGCUGGAAUUCCAUUACUGAAUAUAUAUUAAGCUGUGCCAAGACAAGGAAUAUGUUUUCCAUUGUUUGGAAUUCCUUGGUGUCGUGCAGCAUUACUCCAUUACAUGUGGUAGGUACUAUAAAAUCAAUUGUAGAAUGCAUGAAGCAAAUAGUUAAAACAACAACAAAAAAGGAACACAGAUGUAUGUUAUUUAGUAUUGAACCCACAAGAGAUACUUAACUGGGCAGGGGGAGGGGAAAUGAACCCUCUAAAAUGUAUAUAUUUUUAAAUUUUUUUAAAGUUUUUUUUUAAAAUGUUUAUUUUUGAGAGAGACAGAGUGCAAGUGGCGGGAGGUCAGAGACAGAAGGAGACAUAGAAUCCGAAGAAGGCUCCAGGCUCUGAGCUGUCAGAGCAGAGCUCAAGGAGGGUCUUGAACCCACAGGCUGUGAGACCAUGACUUGAGCUGAAAUCAGAUACUUAACCAACUGUGCUACACAGUCACCCCAAAAAUGUAUACACUUUUUAGUUUUUCUCUACACUAGGCAUUUACAAAUACUUUAUUUCUUUUAAGCCUUUCAACAACCCCCCAAGAUAGGUUGUAUUACUGCUAUUACCAUUGCUAUAGAGACACUAAAGAAAUUAAGACACUUGUCGAAGGAUAAAAAUCAAGUAAGCAUCAGGGCCAGACUUUGGGGCCUACUGUGUCUGAUUACAGCAACAAAAGGAGAGAACUUUUCUUUUGAUCAUAAAGUGAGUACUGAAGCUGCUUAUUGUUGAAAGUAUUUCCUACUACAAUGCUGGACAUUCUUAGUAGAACACUUUUAACAAAGUUCCUGUGUUCUUCAACAAAAAUUGAUUUAAAUGUAAUACCCUUCAGACUGGGGUAGUUAUUUGAGAAAAUGAAAAAAUAUGCCAAAUUGAUCUCAGUACCUCCACCCACAUCCCACUUUUUAUGUACUCUUUACCCUCUAAGCUCCUAAAGGCUUUUUGUCACUGAGGGGGUCUUCAGAGCUGUCCUGUGACACCUUCCCUAUCCUUCUUUAAAAAGUUUACUGUGGAACUUGGCAGACAUCUCAUUCUCAACAUGGUUGAAAUUAAACUCCCUGUUUAACUGCCCCCAUAUAAACCUUGUUCCUGCUCUUCCUCCUACAUCCUGUAUGUCAUUUAAUAACCUUUCAUCUAUUCAUGUGCCCAUGCCAGAUGGUCAUUUAUUGACUUUCCCCCUUCCCUCAAGCUCCCAUGUAUAAUCAAUCACCAAAUUUUAUUGACACUACUUCCUACCACCCCUAUAUUUUGUUCUUUUUUUUUUUUUUUCCACUGUCAGGAUCAUAAUUCAGUCAUAUCUUUUUUUCUUUUUUUGUCUUGGAUUAAUGAAAAUGGACCAUUACAUAUUUCUCUGUUUUGGAUCAUAACGUACCCUUUGAGUUCUCUAGUCUACAGACAAAAAUAUCUUUUAACAAGAAAAUAUGUUCUGGUUGGAUCCCUUUUUUAAGCUGUCACUAUUUCCAGGAAUCUGGGGACAGAAUACAUAUAUGGCUCUGAUAACCUUUCAAGCGUCAUAUUUCUCCAAACUGCUCUUCAGUCAGAGGUAGCCAAGUUUUCUCUUGCUUUGUGAUAUUUGCAGUUCUCUGCUUAGAAGACAUUUCUCAUGCCUGAUCCCCUGUCACAUUCCAUUCCUUCUUCAAGUCUCCGUUAAGGCUUAACUUUAAAUCGUUGCUAAUCCUAAGGGUCACGUGAGCUAUCUAAAUAUUCUCAUGGCAAGGAGUGGCUUGGUGGCUUAGUCAGUUGAGUGUCUGGCUCUUGGUUUUGCCUUUGGUCAUGAUCUCACGGUUCGUGGGAUUGAGCCUGGUGUCGGGCUCCAUGCUGACAGCACAGAGCCUGCCUGGCAUUCUCUCUCUCUCUCUCUCUCUGCCCCUCCCCUGCUUGUGUGUGCCUGUGCACACACAUGCUCUUUCUCUCAAAAUAAAUGAAUAAAAACUUUAAAAAAAAAUAACUUUAUAAAUAUUCUCUACUAUUCCGUACUAGUGGCAAAAGUAGUACUCUUUUUUCCCAUGUGUUUCCAUGGAUGUUUGGUACAUCUCUGUUUUUAUCCCCAUUGUAUUGGUCCUCAUGUACUAAGUAUUGGACAGAGAUCUAGGGUAGCAUAGGCAUUCAUGGAAAGCUAGUUUACCUGAAAUAUUAAACUUAUUCACCAUAUUUAUUAUUAAUUUAAUGUAAGAAACUUCAGGUAACUGACAUACAAAUUUUAUUAGGUCUUUUAUAUUUUAGAAAUUAUAUAUGUAAGGCAAAAAUAUAAGGCAAAAAUAAAUCAUGCCAACUAAAAGUAGAAUAUAAUGCUUGUAUGAGUUUGAAUAGCAUAAGAACUUCAUAUUAAUGGGGAAAUGUUUUUAAUAAAUGUGUACUAAAUUAAUGGAAGGAAAGUUAAUGAGAAACAUAUUGAUAUAAUACUUAUCUGACAUAAUGCUGAAUAUUUUACUUCUAAGUCUUUUUACCAUGCAGCUCAGUAUUCAGUUGGAUGGAUUAAUGUAAUUAAUUUAAACAAAUGGGACACUCAAAUUUAGAUUUAAAAAACCAAAAUCUUGAAGAUAAGAUGACAGAAAAAGAGUCAUAAUACAGUGAAGUUGGUACAAGGGAAGAAAUAUAAAAUGUAAAUACUAAAAAGUUCAUUUGUUUGAUAUUGUGGCAUGUGUCUUUCACUGCAUUUAACAUCUUUUCUUAAAAAUCACAGUUACAUAAAGUCAUUGAAUUUUAUAUUGACUGGGUUGGAUAAAAUUAUUAAAAACAUAAGUAUUCUAUGAGAAUUCUGGUGGGUAGCAUAGAUUUAGACACUGUUUGGACCAGUUAAGUAUUAGGUGGUUUUUUGUUUUGUUUUGUUUUGUUUUGUUUUGUUUGCUUUUUGCUUUUGUUUGCUUUUGUUUUUAUCAUGCCCCAAACUUUCACUCAGUAUUGGUGACACUUUUUAUUUACAUGCCCUGGAAACUCCACAAAUGACUCAGUUAUAGAUCAGUAAUUCAUGCUUUUUUAUUCUUCAAUUUUAUUACCUAAACUUACUCUUCUAAGCAUCAUUUUAUGUUUCUAGUUAAAUAUAAGUGAAAAUUGAUUGGAGUAUUUCUCAAUGGAAUUUUAUCUUUAUUUCAUCAUAAUUGCUUCAUAUUUGAAUAAUGACAGAUGAACUGCCUCAUUCAAUUGCAGUUUUAAGGCUUUGAAGUCACAAUAACAGCACAGGAUUUAAAUCCUCAAGCCAUUAUUAUAGCAGAAAAGACAUUGGAGAAAAUGAAAACUUAUGGUGCUAUAAUUUGCUGGGGGGAAAAAAAGACUCCAGUGGUUAAAACAUAUUAUUUCUUGGCCAUUUCUAACCUAAGACAUGAUGACAUAGGAGUGAACUGGACAGUUACAUUGUGGUCCCACCUUCCUAAAUUACUUCUGGAGCAAUAUUUUAUAACUAUUGAGCCAAAAUUCACACAUCAAGUACAUGACACUACAAUUAUUUUGCUUCAGGAUGAAGCAUUAUCUCAGUGGCAUUUAUAAUUCUAUUCAGCAACAAUUCAGUAUUUCACCAAUAGAGAUUUCAUCAGAUCUUUUUCUUUUUUCUCUGACAUUUACAUGAAGAGCUGAGUACUUGUUAAUACUCCGAGGUAUGCAUUUCAAAGUUCUUUUUUUUUUCUUUUGUAUUCAGCUUUAAGUAAUGAAUCAAACAAUAGGCAAAGCCUAAAAGUACAAAACAGAUCUUGCAUUUAAAAUUUCAUUGGGGCGCCUGGGUGGCGCAGUCGGUUAAGUGUCCGACUUCAGCCAGGUCACGAUCUCGCGGUCCGUGAGUUCGAGCCCCGCGUCNNNNNNNNNNNNNNNNNNNNNNNNNNNNNNNNNNNNNNNNNNNNNNNNNNNNNNNNNNNNNNNNNNNNNNNNNNNNNNNNNNNNNNNNNNNNNNNNNNNNNNNAAAAAAAAUAAAAUUUCAUUAACAUGGCUAAUGUAUUUUGCAGUGGCUGAUGUAUACAUACAACACUUUCAUUUCUUGACUAAGAGACUAUAUUUCUACCAAUGUGGCAUCAAAAGUUUUUCAAGACCUCAAUAUACAGCGGCAUGAGACACAAAGUAAACGGAAUAAAUGAAAACACGAAACACUAGCAUAAUUCAGAGCAUAUAAAAUAACACAUAAAAGGAAAAUUUAUAAAGGAUUAUAAUGGGUAACAUGAAUGAGAAGACAGCUCCCAUUUGAAAUUAUAGAAAGACACAUUUUUACCAGGGAUUUUCUGUAGCCAUUCACCAAAGCAUGUUGAUAACCCUGAUAAGUCAAUAACUUUCUUUAAGAAUGAAAUUAUAUGACAUACAAUUAAUUACAUAUUAUAAAAAUUGUAUUUUGUAUGAACACUAAGUUUGGUGAAGUUGGAAAACCCAGUGAUAACAGUUUCUAGUUUCAUAGAAAGAACAUCAUUAGAUAUUUCUUCUUGAAAGGAUCAUUGAACACUAUGAAUGAAGCGCUGAGUCAAGCAAAACACCUGAUAUUUCCAUGCUAGUGGAAUCUGUUUAAAUUCUAAAACCUUGUUUGUUUACAUCCUGAUGCUGUUCAAUUAUUCAGAUGUCCUGUGCCAUUUGGGCUGUAGGGGGAAAGUGAGACGGAGUGAGUGCUCAAUUUAUGUGCUCAGUCAAUGUCUCCUUAUGUUGUGUGGUAUAGCAGAAAUCACCAAUGUCUUUUGGAUCUUGAAGAUGAAUUUACAAUUAAGAAAAAAGAUUUCUAUAACAUACCAUGACAAAACUUAUAUGCAUAUAAACUUAAUUGAUUAGUAGUUAUUUUUAGAAAUUUUGUUUUGCUUUGUUUCAUCUGGUCCUGUCUGAUUCUCUUUAAUAGUUUUAGAUUUCUGUCUGAGUUAAGGAGAGCUUUGGUGUAUUUUAUCUCUGAAUUGAAUUUGGUCAACUUCAUCAAAUUGACUGAUUAAUUGUAAUUGUGUGUCUCAAUUUAUUGUGAUUCAAAUCUCCAUUUCCAACUUCUUUUUCUUGAGGUUCUUUCUCUAAAAGAGAAGGUCAAGCAUUUAGAGAAGCUGGCAGCAAUGGGUAUGGGUCUAGGAUGACGUUAAGAAGGAAGGCAAGAAGGCAAGAAGGAAGAUGAAGAACUGUAUGAAAAUGUAUGAAAGCAUUUGCCUUUCUUUGCCCAAAUGCACAAGGUGAUAUCUGGUACCUCAGAUCUAGGAAAAUGUUAAAAAGAUACCUGUCUGUGUGAUAUGUUCACAUCUUACUUUCUGCACCAAACUGGUAGGUUCUGGAUACUCUCUCUCCCCUGUUUGAUAAUUGUAGUUCUUGAUGAGGGAGCAUAAGGCCCACUGACACCCUGCAAACAACCUCCCCAUCCCCCCCCAUCAGGUGGGGUAUGUGUCAUAUUCUUAGGCACUCCUGGCUGACCAAGAAUAAAGGAAAGGAGAAAACAAAUGGUUAACUGAUAGAGAUCACAGUCAUGCAGGACAUGAGUCUCAAAAAGUUUACAAAUAUCUUAGUAAAUUGCAAGAAAAAAGUGAAUCUUAUCAAUAGCCUAAUCUCCAGAACCUAUAGAUUCAGUUUCCUGGAGCCCCAAUAUCACCCUCCCCUUCAUAGUGAUGUGAGGAACAAAGGCAAGAAAGAAAUGGCAGGUAAAAUUAAAUAUCCUUAUAACCUGAAGUCCAUUGACAAAUACUUGAGGCAAAUACAGAUUGUAACAUUUCUCCGGGAACCCCCAACUGUCCUAAUGUUAAUGCUUUACUAGAGGGAAAACAACCUUAGCAAGGCCUCUGGAACCUUAUGAAUCCUCCUAAGCACAUGAAACUCCUCCUGGAGGCCCCCCUUUUGCAUUUACCUCCCCCAACUCCAUAGUGUAUAACCAGUCACUCUUCACAAUCCUAGUGCAGCUCUUUCUACCCACGGGUCCUAUUUCUGUGCUUUAAUGGAAUCACCUUUUUUGCACUCAAAGACAUCUCAAGAAUUCUUUCUUGGUCAUCGGCUCCAGAAUUACACCACUCCAAAACCCCAUCAGUGCACAGGCCUUUAUAUUUCUAAUCCUUCCACUGAAAUACCUCCCAGACCUCGGUGUUCCAGCACCAAAAUAAUACUUUUUUCCUUAUUCUCUCCUAGAUCCACUCAUAAUGUUUGCAGAGCCCAGAGCAGGAGUAUAAAUAGAGAUCUCCAUAUGUAUAUCUAUCUAUCUAUCUAUCUAUCUAUCUAUUACUAAAUACUUAAAAGUUAUAAAUCAAAUGAUUAAUAAACUAUUAAAUAAUACCAUUUUCUAUCAUCCUACAUUGAUACAUAUUCCUUUAUAGUGACCUGGAAAACCAGAAUCAAUGUUUGAAUUUUUGUGCUCCUUGGAGACCACUCUGAAAUGAGGGUACAGGGGUGCCAACCCCUGCCCUUGGUCUUCAAUUUGAGCCAAGCUCUCUCUUCCUACUCUAGGCUCCACCCCUCAGCUUAGAGGGACCUCACUGGCAUGCGUGUCUAGCUUCAUCCAACUUUUCCCCCCAAAUGGCCCUUCCUUAGGCCUGCCCAAGAGCUGGUGGUGCACACACCUGGCAGUGUGGCCCAACCUUGGAAAGAUAGAAGCAGGGGAGACAUUUUAAUAAGACCUAGAAGAAGGGGCACCUGGGUGGCUCAUUUGGUUAAGCAUUAAACCCUUGAUCUCAGCUCAGGUCAUGAUCUCACUGUUCAUGAGUUCAAGCCCCAGGUUGGGCUCUGGCAGCGUGAAGCCUACUUGGGAUUCUGCCCCUCCCUCACUCUCUAAAUAAAUAAAUACAUAAAUAAACAAACAAACUUAAAGUGGGAGAGACAGAGAGAGAGAGUGAGAGAGAGAGAGCGAGAGAGAGAGAGCAAGAGAGGAGGCUAAGGACUGUUUGGACAGGAAGUUUCCAAAUCUUCAGUAUCCGUAGAUGUCUAGAUGUCCAGAGACAGGAUUUCCAGUUGGGUACAUGUAACUGGUCUGUGUAUUCCUCACUCAUGGAGAAGAGCAUUCUGGAAGGGAGCCUGAGCACAGAUCUUUAAACUGUAGGUCUCAUCAAGUGGGACUCUUCUAGUCUCAAUCGUAUUUAGAGAAGAAGCAACCUAGGGUCAUUCAUAUUAAUAUGUGAAUGAUGAAUGACACUAAUUCUUCAGUAGGAUUGAAAUGAUUCCCUAACUUCUAAAAUAAAUGAGGUCGCCAACUUUUCAUAUUAAAGAUCUACUUGUAAUGUGGUUGUUUGAAUUUUGUCAGAUGGGUCAGCAAAAGCACACUUAGUUUACAAUAUAGUUGAAAUUCUAUUGAAAAGAAAAUGAGAGACCACACUGGUUUUGCAACAGUAGUUAAUUAAAUUACAUAUAAAAACAUAAAACAAAGGAAAAUAAACCCAGAAAUCUUUAAUUUCCUGUAAUUCUUUAUAAAAUUUGAAAUUUCCUAGUAAUAAUUUUUGAUUAUGACUAUAGCUGCUAAUACUCUGGGACCAUUCAGAUCAGACUCUCCUUAACUCAAGGGGCAUUGAAAUUCAAGAAGAGGGUUUGAAGAGCAAGGUGUUGACCCUAUGUUGAUCUGCAAGUUUGAAUCUGGGGCAUUGCCUUUGAGCAUGGCUGAUACCCAGCGAGUGUAACAAGGCUAUAUCUGCUAUUUAUGGGCAGUAUCUACUACUGCCAGUAGUCACCUGGUCAAUAUGUAUGCCUUACGACUAUCUAAAUAUUUUUAAUAUCCUUGUUUGUUGGAUCUCUUCAUUGUCUCUGGGGCAAUUUAAGAAGUAAAUUACCUGAAACAUAAUCUCAAACAAGCUGUGUACCAGAAAAUUAGACAUAUAUUUUAAAUAUGGUAAACUAUUGCAAUAAAUCAGAAUCAGACAGAAAAAGAAUGACGUUGGUCCUCCACUAGUCAACUUUUCAGUAGGAAGUGAGCUUGCAUUCAUCUUUUGGGGAGAGUGGGCUGAGGGCAAGCAGAGGCAACCCUGAUUCAGGAGACAGGAUGUGUUCUACAUUUCCAGUAAUUUUCUGCCCAAAUCUCAUCAGAUUUGGCUGAUGAAACUAACCCAGCCUAACUAGCUAUAAAACUAUGUAACUGAGAUUUCUGAACUUACUAUCUCUGUUGAGGAAACCCCAGGCAGCCACAAAACCCAGAAUAGUCCCCAUCUAUGUUUAAGUUAAAGGGCACACGUUCCAUGAGGUGGCACCACAUCACUGAUGAACCUGACAGUAAUUUGGGUCUUGUGGGUAAAUGGGUCUCUCAGGACUUUUAGCUGGCUGGAUUGAGAGGAUAGCCAUUUUGUUAACCUCACAAUAAUACAGUUCUAGAUUUUGUGUGAUUUAUUAUUUUUUGGAUCCCAUUUAUCUUGAUUUAGAGGGAGAAGAGAUGGAGACACCAGUCAAUCAGUAAAGCCAAAUAAGAAAGUUCUGCAUGAUAAGCGUUGGAAGUUACUCAGCAACUUUGACUUUGGACAGCAAGAUGUCUACUAAUGGUGAAGGAUGCCUGUGUGUAAUUCUACAGGAGGACUCAGUUAUGUCUUCUCAUAUUGGAAGCAUUUCCUGACAUUUCCCUGCAUAAACCAAUGUCUCAAGGAGUAUUUUCCUGAAUUAAGUGGAAUAAUAAAAGGAGCUACAAUCCAUUCACCAGAAUGAUAUUUGUUAACAAAAAUAGUGCAAUAAACCUUUGAUAGCUCCCCUUUGAUUUCAGAAUAAAGGAAGAACAUUUAGAAUAACAUGCUCUCAAACUAACCCCUGGCCUAAUUGCAGGACUUACCUGUAGACCACUCAUAUUAAUAUGCUACUUCCUUUGAUUCCUUGAUAUGUGCAGGUAUCCUUGUGUGUCUAUACACACA